rnacentral:tRNA from 1 species
CUGGAGAUGUAGCUCAGUGGUAGAGUACUUGCCUAACACGCAAAAGGCCCUGAGUUCAAUCCUCAGUACUAGG